rnacentral:rRNA from 1 species
UACGAAGGGGGGCUAGCGUUGCUCGGAAUCACUGGGCGUAAAGGGCGCGUAGGCGGAUGGCACAGUCAGAUGUGAAAUUCCCGGGCUUAACCUGGGGGGCUGCAUUUGAUACGUGUUGUCUAGAGUGAGGAAGAGGGUUGUGGAAUUCCCAGUGUAGAGGUGAAAUUCGUAGAUAUUGGGAAGAACACCGGUGGCGAAGGCGGCAACCUGGUCCUUGACUGACGCUGAGGCGCGAAAGCGUGGGGAGCAAACAGG